rnacentral:rRNA from 1 species
AUACGGGGGCUGCAAGCGUUAAUCGGAAUUACUGGGCGUAAAGCGCGCGUAGGCGGUUUGCUCAGUCGGAUGUGAAAGCCCAGGGCUCAACCUUGGAACUGCAUACGAUACUGGCAAACUAGAGUGUGAGAGAGGAUAGUGGAAUUUCCGGUGUAGCGGUGAAAUGCGUAGAUAUCGGAAGGAACAUCAGUGGCGAAGGCGACUGUCUGGCUCAACACUGACGCUGAGGUGCGAAAGCGUGGGUAGCAAACAGGAUUAGAAACCCUAGUAGUCC